UACGUAGCGUGCAAGCGUUAAUCGGAAUUACUGGGCGUAAAGCGUGCGCAGGCGGUUUUGUAAGACUGUCGUGAAAUCCCCGGGCUUAACCUGGGAAUGGCGAUGGUGACUGCAAGGCUAGAGUUUGGCAGAGGGGGGUAGAAUUCCACGUGUAGCAGUGAAAUGCGUAGAUAUGUGGAGGAACACCGAUGGCGAAGGCAGCCCCCUGGGUCAAAACUGACGCUCAUGCACGAAAGCGUGGGGAGCAAACAGG
rnacentral:rRNA from 1 species